UACGUGGGGUGCAAGCGUUGCUCGGAAUUACUGGGCGUAAAGCGUGUGUAGGCGGCUCGUUAAGUCUGACGUGAAAUCCCUGGGCUUAACCCAGGAACUGCAUCGGAAACUAGCGAGCUUGAGUCCGGGAGAGGGUAGUGGAAUUCCUGGUGUAGAGGUGAAAUUCGUAGAUAUCAGGAGGAACACCGGUGGCGAAGGCGGCUACCUGGACCGGUACUGACGCUGAGACACGAAAGCGUGGGGAGCAAACAGG
rnacentral:rRNA from 1 species